AUUGAACGCUGGCGGCAUGCUUUACACAUGCAAGUCGAACGGUAACAGGCCGCAAGGUGCUGACGAGUGGCGAACGGGUGAGUAAUGCAUCGGAACGUGCCCAGUCGUGGGGGAUAACGCAGCGAAAGCUGCGCUAAUACCGCAUACGAUCUAUGGAUGAAAGCGGGGGACCGAAAGGCCCCGCGCGAUUGGAGCGGCCGAUGUCAGAUUAGGUAGUUGGUGGGGUAAAGGCCCACCAAGCCAACGAUCUGUAGCUGGUCUGAGAGGACGACCAGCCACACUGGGACUGAGACACGGCCCAGACUCCUACGGGAGGCAGCAGUGGGGAAUUUUGGACAAUGGGCGCAAGCCUGAUCCAGCAAUGCCGCGUGCAGGAAGAAGGCCUUCGGGUUGUAAACUGCUUUUGUACGGAACGAAACGGUCCGGGUUAAUACCCUGGGCUAAUGACGGUACCGUAAGAAUAAGCACCGGCUAACUACGUGCCAGCCGCCGCGGUAACAC
rnacentral:rRNA from 1 species